rnacentral:pre_miRNA from 1 species
GAGACAACCCUAUAAAGCAGGACUUGCUUCAAUGGGGCUUUGGUGCCCACUGAGUCUGCCCCUUGAGUGUGUCACU